rnacentral:lncRNA from 1 species
UGACCUUCGCCGUCUCAUUGGUGGUGGUGAUCUGUGUCGACGUGCUGGAGAAGGUGAUCUGCGUCGACGUGCUGGAGAAGGUGAUCUGCGUAGACGUGCUGGAGAAGGUGAUCUACGUCGACGUACUGGAGAAGGUGAUCUGCGUCGACGUGCUGGAGAAGGUGAUCUGCGUCGACGUGCUGGAGAAGGUGACCUGUGUCGACGUGCUGGAGAAGGUGAUCUGUGUCGACGUGCUGGAGAAGGUGAUCUGCGUCUUUUAGUAGGAGAGGGUGUUCUGCGGCGGCGAAAAGGUGAAUCGUGAUAAUAUGGAGAAUGC